GGGACGUUCAGAAAAAGCAGUGGCCAACACAGAAACCAGACUGGCGGAAGUACAGAUUCAUGUCAGGUCACCAGGCUAGUUGGAUGGACUUUUCUCUUCUGGAGAUUUGAAGUUUACGUGGACAAGUACAGAGGCUAGAUUUCCACUGGAAUUCAAACAUUUUUAAUGAGUAGCACACUAUAGAAUUUUUUUCACAGUAAAGCUGAAUUUUUUUUCAUGUGCUAAGUGUAAGAAAAUAAAAUCUGUUAUUGAUUACAAUUCAACCUUUAUUUGGUAGAAAAAUAUGGCAUAUGAUCUUAUGAGGAGAAAAAUGGUGCUGUUCAGAAGCAUAACAUAUACAUAACUCCAAAGUCCUUUGUACAGAGAAAGAAAACCAAAUAUUUUCCUCGGUUGAAGCUUGUUUUAGCUUUUUUAAGAAAAAAAAAUGGAAUAAGAAAAGACUUUUAAUUUUUUUUCCGGCUUGAUAACUCAUUUGCUGUUGGUUAUAUAACCAGAGGUAAAACAAAAGAUUCAAAUAAAUGAGAAACUGGAGUACCAAGUAAUCAUUUCAUUGUAACUUAACUGGGACCCUUGGAGGCUCAACACUUCUAGGAAAUCUGACAAAUGUUUAUUAUGUCUUUACAUUCUCCUUUACAAGCUUACAGAGAGCAUCAGACAGAUUUUCCUCUUCUCUUUUUUUCUUUUCUUUUUCCUUUUUUUUUUUUUUUUGAGACCAGGCCUUUGACAGUCCUGAAUCUUAAAUGAUUGCCCAGCAGGCAUCAGGGAUCCCCCUGUUCCUGCCCUUCCAGUGCUAGGAUAACAACAGCAUGUCACCAUGACCGGAUUUUUUUUUUAAUGUGCUGCUAUGUCCAUUUUGUUUUGUUUAGUUUUGUUUGUUUAAUAUCUGAGAUCUGGGGGAGCAUGCUCUGGUGUUUCCUGCUUGUCAGACAAGCACUUUGGGGACUAACCCAUCUCUCCAGUCCUGGUCUCACUCUUUACCAUGUAUGCUUUCAUUUACUUUUUCUGAUCAUAUCUUAUUCCUUCCAAUGUUCCUUAAGCCUUAAGUGAAAAUGCUUUCCGGAUCAAAUUCUCUCAGUUGUAAAAUGAGGCAAAGGCAUGAAGAGAGUAGAAAGUACAUCUGAGUGAGGAAGGAGUCUAAUGUAUGUAUGUAUGUAUGUAUGUAUGUAUGUAUGUAUGUAUGUAUGUAUGUAUCUAUCUAUCUAUCUAUCUAUCUAUCUAUCUAUCCAUCCAUCCUGAUCUACCUGCCACUCCCUAGAAUUUGUUUUGUAGACCAGGCUGGCCCCAAACUCAGAGAUCUGUCUGAUUCUGCCUCCCAAGUACUGGGAUUAAAGGCUUGCACCACUGUGCUCAGCUAGUGCUUGUAAUCUUUUAACUUGUGUAUGUUGGAGGAGUCUGCUUGUUGGUUCCAAGCUGCCCAGCCCUGAAAUAAUCACACAGAAAUUGUAUUAAUUAAAUCACUGCUUGGUCCAUUAGUGCUAGCUUCUUAUUAGCUAACUGUUACAUAUUAAUUUAACCCAUUUCUAUUGAUCUGUGUAUCUCUACGAGGCUGUGGCUUACCGGGAAAAGUUCUGGCGUCUAUCUCUGGCAGGGCUACGUGGCUUCCCAGCAUUCUCUUUAGCUCUGUUCCCCUAUAGCUCUGUUUCAAAGUAGUUCCUUUAUUAACCAAUGUUAUUCAUAGUAUACAGAGGGGAAUCCCACACUACGUGUAUCAUUUGUGUUCUCUUUGCUAUUGUCAGUUUAUGCCUUUUUGUUUCACUGUUUUCAUUUUUGAGGGGUUUGGAGAGGGAGCACAGAUAAAAGUGUAUAGUCAAUUUCUCAUAUUUAUUAGGAGGGUUUAUGACAAUUUAAUAUUAGCUAGGGGAAAAACAUGUCUUUUGUAAGGAGAAAGCUUUUCUGUUUUUUGGUGAGUGACUUUUUAUUAAAGAUAUAUCUUGUUUUAUAUAUACAUAUAUAUUUUAUACGUAUAUAUACAAGCAUACACACACACACACACACACAAAGUGCUCUAUCUGCAUGGACAACUUUAUGCCAGAAGAGGGCAUCAGAUCCCACUAUAGAUGGUUGUGAACUACCAUGUGGUUGUGUGUGGGGGGGGGGGUAUUGAAUUCAGGACCUCUAGAAAAACAACCAGUGCUCUUAAACACUCAGCCAUCUCUUCAGUCCAGUGGAUGAUCUUUUAAAGAGGUUUUUUUUUUUUUACAUAAAAAUAAGGCCCAGGUUAUAUUCUGAAAUGGAAAUCUUGUGGAAAUAAAAAUAAAAAUUCCUCUGCAUAUUACUAGUUUAUUAUUAUUAUGUUACUAGUCUUUAUUCCUUUUUUUUCGAGACAGGGUUUCUCUGUAGCUUUGUUGCCUGUCCUGGAACUCACUCUGUAGACCAGGCUAGCCUCAGAUUCACAGAGAUUCACCUGCCUCUGCCUCCUGAGUGUUGGGAUUAAAGGAGUGUGCCACCACCACCUGACUCUAGUUUUUAUUCUUAUCUUUGAAGGGGAGAUAGAAGUUUUGCCCCUUUUUUAUGUGGCAAGAGGGGAGGUAAAGAUAAAAACAUGUUUAGAAACAUCUCACUCAUGGGAGAUUUGAUCCCUUGUAAACUCAGCACUUGGGAAGAAAAGCAGGAGGAUUGUUUGGUGUUGGGUGUGGGGAUCCAAGGUCAGCUCAGGCUACAAAAGACCUUUUCUCAAUAGAAAACAAAACAUCCAUCUGCUACACCAGCAAAACAUUCGAGGGAUCAGGGCAGUUCCUGAGCUCCCAGAGUGCCCUGGAACAGAGCAAGACAACUAGGCUUUCAGGCAACACUGUAGGGAUUUCCCUUGAGGAUUGCAACAACUCUAUCACUGCCUGCAGAGAGCCCCAGGGAGCAGUGAGAAGGUCCAUCCACAGGACUCUGCAUCCAAACAAGGCUUUGACCUUGAUCACUUACACAUUAAAAUUUGUCUUUGCUCUUUGGUUAUCCACGAAGUUCUGUUUUAUAUA